UACGUAGGGCGCAAGCGUUGUCCGGAAUUAUUGGGCGUAAAGAGCUCGUAGGCGGUCUGUCGCGUCGGAUGUGAAAAGCCCCGGGGGCUUAACCCCCGGGUCUGCAUUCGAUACGGGCAGACUAGAGUGUGGUAGGGGGAGAUCGGAAUUCCUGGUGUAGCGGUGAAAUGCGCAGAUAUCAGGAGGAACACCGGUGGCGAAGGCGGAUCUCUGGGCCAUUACUGACGCUGAGGAGCGAAAGCGUGGGGAGCAAACAGG
rnacentral:rRNA from 1 species